GUCGCUCAGGAUGUUAUGAUUUAUCUUUCUCAUGGAUCGGGUGCGGCGGAGGCGCUGAGGCGAGCGAUUUCACCUUAUGCCACAAUCAUGCCUCCGUCGCUCAGGAUGUUGUGAUUAUCUCCCUCUUCGUUCCCUCUCCCAGCGGUCAAGACGUUGGCAUCCUCUCCUUGGCGGUCGAGCCCAUCAUUCUUUCCUCUCGGCGCACUCGCUAGUGGUAUCCUUCCUCUCACUUCCUCUCCUUGGAGGUAUCCUUCCUCUCGGCACUCUCGCUGCAUGCCGUCCCCUCUGCCUAGGGUUCAAUCCGCCUAGGGUCCAAUCCCUCGAUCGGUCUCAGCAACUAGCCAACCUCAAUCUACAAAAGCUCUAGGCCCGUGAGGUUGCAAAUGAACUUUGUGCGAGUAUGAAGGCAUCAAGGAAUCCUAUUGUUUGGCUUGAAACUUCUUCAGGCUCCAUCCAGACAGCAAGUAUAGAUACAUCCACUGUUUCUGAUGCAUACUUCAAGAUGCUUACAAUAUUUAUUCUUCCGUCUGUGGACGAGGGCUAUUCAACCCCCCUUCUAGCCGGCCGCAACGGUCCUACAAAUGGUAUCAGAGUCGAG